GAUGAAGAACGCAGCGAAAUGCGAUAAGUAGUGUGAAUUGCAGAAUUCAGUGAAUCAUCGAAUCUUUGAACGCACAUUGCGCCCCUUGGUAUUCCAUGGGGCAUGCCUGUUCGAGCGUCAUUUGUACCUUCAAGCUUUGCUUGGUGUUGGGUGUUUGUCUCGCCUUUGCGUGUAGACUCGCCUUAAAACAAUUGGCAGCCGGCGUAUUGAUUUCGGAGCGCAGUACAUCUCGCGCUUUGCACUCAUAACGACGACGUCCAAAAGUACAUUUUUACACUCUUGACCUCGGAUCAGGUAGGGAUACCCGCUGAACUUAAGCAUAUCAAUAAGCGGAGCA
rnacentral:misc_RNA from 1 species